ACCACGCCCGGCUGGUUCAGUUCUUAAUACCUUGGUUGGGGAGGAGGGGAGCUGCUCACCUUUAUCUCAGGAACAUUAGUGAAUUGGCAAGUUCUGUUGUCCCAGUCCCUAUCUGACUCAAACCUUAUCUGUAUUGUUUCUCUGACUCCCCAUCCAUACCAGUUCCACUCUGAUGUGAUCACUAAUUGAAGUGGUUCAUAAAGACAUCAUCCAUUUUGUUUUUCUAUGCUGUCUGAAGAAGAAAAGAAGUAAAAUGGAGGACAAGAACAAAGAAAGACACUCCAGUUCAGUGGUCCCCAACCUUUUUGGCACCAGGGACUGGUUUCAUGGAAGAUAAUUUUUCCACAGAUGGGGGUGGGGGGGAUGGUUUCCAGAUGAAAUUGUUCCACCUCAGAUCAUCAGGCAUUAGAUUCUCAUAAAGAGUGGCAACCCAGUUCCCUCACAGGUGCAGUCACAAUAGGGUUCCUGCUGCUAUGAGAAUCUAAUGCCACUGCUCAUCUGAUGGGAGGUGGAGCUCAGGCAGUAAUGCUCGCUCAUCUGCCACUCUCCUCCUGCUCUGUGGCCUGGUUCCUAACAGGCACAGACAGGUACCUGUCUGUGGCAUGGUGGUUAGGGACCCCUGCUCUAGCUUUUCCUUUGUUGGGAGCCUAGUGACCUAGACUUAAGCUGUAAUAACUUAAGUUUCUAUGGCCAUGGAAUGGUUGAAUGACGAACCAUCUUCCCACAUUUAUAUGGUUUCAUUCCAUGCUGAAGGAGAAUAAGAGAGAUGGUUAAAACUUUCCCCUAAAUAUCAUCUAUAGAGAUAUUUUGGGAAAAAAGAGGAGGAACCAUCUGAAAGCAGCUGUAUAAUUUCUAUACAUUUAAAAUUUUAGGUGAAUUUGAACAGGAAGACACUUAGUUGGCUAAUGGGAAGAGAGACUGUUGGUACAAUAUAUAGCUAUAUUUACUUUGCAGUCUAGCUAUGCUUCACUGGGCAACUGGAAAUUCAGUGGUGGCUGAGGCGAGGGAGGGCAGACUCAGAAAAGGAGGGUCAGAAAGGGAGGUGGCAGCCUUGGCUGCUCUCUUCAAUGAGGUAAUCCUUCCUCCGUGCUGCCCUGCUGUCCCUGUGCCUGCUGCCAGUGCCCAUAGAGCUCCAGAUGCAAUUGAUCUCAUUAUAUAUCAGAACAGAAUUGGCUUGAACAGCCUGUUCUAUCCUGGUGAUUAGGACAUAGCAUAUUUUUC
rnacentral:lncRNA from 1 species